rnacentral:piRNA from 1 species
UGAUGCAAAUGACGGACAGUA